UCGAGGUUCUAGUGCACACUUAACUGUACUAAGGGGAGAUUGAGAAAUCCAAAGGCAGGAGAGGAUAAACAUAAAAAAUGUCUGUUCCCUAGGUUUAUAUGAAGAAUGUGUUUACCUAAAGGCUUCUAAGUGACAUUUUGAUAAAAACAGUUUAUGAGACCCACUUCUACCAAUGAGAACUUUCUUUCCCCAAAAUCUGCUGCUGCUUACAUCUUUCUAAAAGCACUACAUUUUAUAUGCAGAAGUACAUUAAUUCAUUUUCUAAUAACAGAAGCAGAAACUUAGGGUGACAUAAGAAAACAGCAGAAGAAGUAGAAGUAAAGUAUCAUGAAGACACAGACUAUGACUAUUUUGCAAAUUCCCAGGGCUCAGGAGGGAGAUUUAAACACAGCAGAUUAACUGCUCCUUUUCCUCCACAUUCUUAAGGCCUUCUCAGAAAUUUCCUUCCCAAUUCACUUGCCUUCCAGUGGCCAUGAAGGAAGGAACCUUCAUCUGGUCUACAUCACCACAAAGACAGAACAGUGACAGCUAACCCUGCUCCAACUUCUACCACCUUCUUGACCUGGCACAGCCAUAGAACACAGGAAGUCCUCUUCACUUCUAAUAAAAUUGGAAACAUGGGAACAUGUUCUAUAAUGUUCUAACAUGUUCUAACAAUGUUCUAUAAUGAACGGUCUAUAUCCAAGAGGAUACACUAUAUUAAAGUGUAGGAGAAAUUCAAUAUUUAUAAACUAUAAAUUUCCAUUAUUUAAAACAAGUGUUUGAAAUAGUGCCAGUUCCCAGCCUCCUUUCCUUCUUCAAGUAUGAUAUUUAUGAAACAGAAAACUGGGUUUUCGAUUAGUCUAAUCAUUUUUAAACUCUUGAAUUGAGUCUUUUUCUUUAGUUCUAACAGUUUUCAGAUGCUUCUUUUAUGUCAUUUACAGGGAGUUGAGGUUUUUUCUGUGUAUUAUGACCUUCCAGGCUUUCUGGUUUCAUAAGAACCUGGCAUCUGGGAUACCAACCAAAAUAAUCUGUCCUUCUUUGAACUGCCCUAACACUUUGGCUACAAAUCAACAGGCUUCUUGAGGGUAGGGAUAAUGCAUCCCUACCACUUAGCAUAAAGUCUCUGAAACAGUACAUUUUAAUAGAUCUGUAGCUCUUUAAAAUAUUAUACUUACUUAUAUUUAUACCACUUCUGUGACUAGGUAUGUUUUACAACUACAUUUAUCAUUUUCUGUAAUUAUAAACACGUGAUAUGCUUAAAACAGAAAUAAUGAAAAUACAG